rnacentral:rRNA from 1 species
GCUCGCAGGCGGUUUCUUAAGUCUGAUGUGAAAGCCCCCGGCUCAACCGGGGAGGGUCAUUGGAAACUGGGAAACUUGAGUGCUGAAGAGGAGAGUGGAAUUCCACGUGUAGCGGUGAAAUGCGUAGAGAUGUGGAGGAACACCAGUGGCGAAGGCGACUCUCUGGUCUGUAACUGACGCUGAGGAGCGAAAGCGUGGGGAGCGAACAGGAUUAGAUACCCUGGUAGUCCACGCCGUAAACGAUGACUGCUAGGUGUUAGGGGGUUUCCGCCCCUUAUUGCUGAACCUAACGCAUUAAUCACUCCGCCGGGGGAGUACGGUCGCAAGACUGAAACUCAAAGGAAUUGACGGGGGCCCGCACAACCGGUGAAGCAGGUGGUUUAAUUCAAACCACCGCGAAAAACCUUACCACGUCUUGACUUCCUCUGACUUCGCUGAAGAUAGGUCUUUCCCUUCGGA